GACGAACGCUGGCGGCGUGCUUAACACAUGCAAGUCGAACGGAAAGGCCCUGCUUUUGUGGGGUGCUCGAGUGGCGAACGGGUGAGUAACACGUGAGUAACCUGCCCUUGACUUUGGGAUAACUUCAGGAAACUGGGGCUAAUACCGGAUAGGAGCUCCUGCUGCAUGUUGGGGGUUGGAAAGAUUCGGCGGUUGGGGAUGGACUCGCGGCUUAUCAGCUUGUUGGUGGGGUAGUGGCUUACCAAGGCUUUGACGGGUAGCCGGCCUGAGAGGGUGACCGGCCACAUUGGGACUGAGAUACGGCCCAGACUCCUACGGGACGCAGCAGUGGGGAAUAUUGCACAAUGGGCGGAAGCCUGAUGCAGCAACGCCGCGUGCGGGAUGACGGCCUUCGGGUUGUAAACCGCUUUCGCCUGUGACGAAGCGUGAGUGACGGUAAUGGGUAAAGAAGCACCGGCUAACUACGUG
rnacentral:rRNA from 1 species